UACGAAGGGGGCUAGCGUUGCUCGGAAUCACUGGGCGUAAAGCGCACGUAGGCGGCCUACUAAGUCAGGGGUGAAAUCCUGGAGCUCAACUCCAGAACUGCCUUUGAUACUGGUUGGCUUGAGUCCGGGAGAGGUGAGUGGAACUGCGAGUGUAGAGGUGAAAUUCGUAGAUAUUCGCAAGAACACCAGUGGCGAAGGCGGCUCACUGGCCCGGUACUGACGCUGAGGUGCGAAAGCGUGGGGAGCAAACAGG
rnacentral:rRNA from 1 species